rnacentral:rRNA from 1 species
GACCCGCUGAACUUAAGCAUAUCAAUAAGCGGAGGAAA